CUAGGAUGAAAGGAUGUUAUCUAUCCCGUGCCAAGGGGGAACUGAGAACCUCUUCCAGAACUCUGAAAAGUUUCAGGCAGACUCUUUAAUAUGUUCCCCAUAAAGAAAAAUUCUGUCACUGAGAGUCUCUUAGACCAUCACCACUGAUUCAUUCCUGGCACUGGACCUGACCAGAGGCUCGUGGGAUUGCUGCCCCCACACAUCUGGGAGCCAGGCUACCAUGUGGGCCUUCUGAGUAUCACAGACUCAGCUGUCUUGCUGCCUCAUCAUUGCAUCCCCCACUGUUCUAACUGGCUUCUUCCUUUCUGUGCAAAUUGGUUUUAAGCUGAUUGUAAUCUACCACUCAUAUUU